CAGAGAUGCUGAAGCUGAGGUUCUUUUCUGCUUUAGUUUAGAGGAGUCUCUAAAGAGAGCACAAGUAGCUCCACUGUUCAAGGGAAAAUAUUUUUACAUUACACCUGGAAUUUGUCCCAGUCUUUCCACCAUGAAAGCUAUUGUGGAGUGUGCAGGAGGAAAAGUAUUAUCUAAACAACCUUCUUUUCGAAAACUCAUGGAGCAUAAGCAGAAUAAAAGUUUGCCAGAGAUAAUCUUGAUUUCCUGUGAAAAUGACCUUCAUUUAUGUCGAGAAUAUUUUGCACGAGGCAUAGAUGUCCACAAUGCUGAGUUUGUCCUGACUGGAGUGCUUACUCAAACACUGGAUUAUGAAUCAUAU